AGUUGCGCUCGAGGCCAUUAGGUUGAGAGCACGUCUGUUUGGGCGUCAUGCCUUGCGUCAUUCUAACCAUCCACCUACUGUAAACAUACUGUGAGUGAUGGCGGAUGUGGAGAUUGACCCUCCGUGCCUUAAUUGUGCGGUUGGUUUAAGUGAAUGUUGUCGUUAGGUCUACGCGCGGCGAAUGGUGUAUCGAGUUAACACACGAUGUCUCUAACUGCGUCCAGGAGUCCUACGAACGAUGUAACAAUAACUGAAACCAUUUUCGACGUUUGCCUUAGUUGCAAGCUCGGAACAUGACCUCAGAUCAGGUGGGGCAACCCGCUGAGUUUAAGCAUAUCAAUAAGCGGAGGAGAAGAAACUUACGAAGAUUCCCUUAGUAACGGCGAGCGAAUCGGGAAAAGCCCAGCUUGAGAAUUAGGUGGUUGUG
rnacentral:misc_RNA from 1 species